ACCGUCCUGCUGUCUUUAGUUACUAACGCCUUUUAUGGUAUCCCAUUAACAUAGCUUUAGGCACUCUAACUCCGCUUUUGGUUCAUCCCACAUCGCCGACCCUGCUUACCAGGGCCGGCCCACUUAGAACGCUCUAUUUGUCGGUCAGCUUCGUUUGCGUAAGCUGCCGGCCAUACAUAUUGAAAGUUUGAUAAUAGGUUGAGGCCGUUUCAGUCCCAAUGCCUCUAGUCAUUCGCUUUACCACAUAGAACUAUUUUAUCACCUGCAUUUCGUUCUAGCUAUCCUGAGGGAAACUUCGAAAGGAACCAGCUACUAGAUAGUUCGAUUGGUCUUUCGCCCCUACGCCUAACUUGGACGAUCGAUUUGCACGUCAGAAUCGGAGCGAGCUUCCAUCAGGGUUUCCUCUAACUUCACCCUGGUCAGGCGUAGGUCACCACCUUUCGGGUGCCUAAGCGCCGACUCUAAGGAUGGCUCUGCGCCCCCACGAGGAGGACGCGCCGAGGCCAUCUCGGGAUUGCGGGCCGCGAGCCGCCGACGAGCGGCGGCGUCGGCCAUCGUCCCGUCGCAUGCGACUUAACGCUUUCGCUGCGUCUCUUGUGUUUGGCGUAAAGCACUACUACUGACUCGCCGAUUCAAAAGGACUCCUAGGCCC
rnacentral:rRNA from 1 species